rnacentral:rRNA from 1 species
UACGGAGGGUGCAAGCAUUGAUCGGAAUUACUGGGCGUAAAGGGCGCGUAGGCGGCCAGGUAGGUCUGCUGUGAAAACUCGAGGCUCAACCUCGAGACGUCGGCGGAAACCAUCUGGCUAGAGUCCGGAAGAGGAGAGUGGAAUUCCUGGUGUAGCGGUGAAAUGCGCAGAUAUCAGGAAGAACACCCGUGGCGAAGGCGGCUCUCUGGGACGGUACUGACGCUGAGACGCGAAAGCGUGGGGAGCGAACAGG